rnacentral:rRNA from 1 species
UACGUAGGGGGCUAGCGCUGUCCGGAAUCAUUGGGCGUAAAGGGCUCGUAGGCGGCCAACUAAGUCAGACGUGAAAUCCCUCGGCUUAACCGGGGAACUGCGUCUGAUACUGGAUGGCUUGAGUUCGGGAGAGGGAUGCGGAAUUCCAGGUGUAGCGGUGAAAUGCGUAGAUAUCUGGAGGAACACCGGUGGCGAAGGCGGCAUCCUGGACCGAUACUGACGCUGAGGAGCGAAAGCCAGGGGAGCAAAGCGGG